AAAAAUUUAUUAAACGCCUUUUUUAAAAAUUAUUUUCGGAGGGGGGUUUCUUACAAUUUUAUUAAUUUAUUAAUUAAUUUCUUUAUUUAUUUUAUAUAUUUUUAUUUUUUUUUAUUUUUAACUCUGAAAAAUUUCACGCUGUACAACAGGUGAGUACUCGCAAUGUUUAAACAUCCGGUUGAAUUAAGUUUUUUUUUUAUUUCGGAAACGUAGAAUUUUUUUGUUUCUUCUUUUAUUUGCAUAGAGGAUUCACGCACACACACACACUCACACUCACAUACCAAAAAUCGUUGCGUCAUUAUUUUACAUUGGGCUACUGACAAAUGAGCAACGCGCUCCAUUGCGAUUAAUGUGACUGAAGCCUGGCGCGCGUCAAUUGUGUGUGUGUGUGUGUGUGUGUGUGUGGUCACACCUGACUGUAUUGCGCAAUGUACGGGCUGUAUACCAGAUUCAGCCGAUUAUUAAUUUUAUUUUAUUUUUUCUGUAUGUUCAAGCGUGAACAGUGUUGAACUGCAUACAUCGAAGUUGGUGGGGCGCCAGAGUCUGUUUGCUCAGCACUGAAAAAUGUGUGAGAACGUUCCAGCACCUUAUUUCGUUACGCAGCCACGUAACGAGUCUGGCGCAAUUGCUAAUUGGCCAGUUGCGAUAGAAUUCCAGAUAAUGGACGUUUCUUUUGACGGAAAUUUGUUUGACUUUGAACGCCAUUGCGAAUCGGAUACGAACAAAAUCUUGCGCACUUUUCUUUUCAUCAUUUUCUUGUUUUGGUUUGUUGUUUAGCCAAUAGGUGAUCGAAGAAAUCAUCAAACGCGUGUGGAAACCAUCUCGUUUCACACACAAAAAUCGACGCUUGUUAUCGGUCAAGACGAUUGCAGUUGGCCACGAUCAUCACGUCCUUCCAUCGAGCGGUUGGCAACUGGGUGCGCAGUUUGGCCGCCCCAAAGAUGAUAUGCCAAACGGACAUGAAACAAUAAAAGCCACGUGCGCGCAAGACUCACGCGAGUGCAAGUGUCGAUCGACGUGAUGAGCAACAAUCACUUUCCUUUACGCAAGACAUCCAUCCUCCCUUGAUUUAUUUGAUCGCGAGAGAAAACGAAAGUGAAUAUUUGGGACCUUUCAACAAGAUCCAUUGUUCACAAUGCAAGGCAAUGUGUCAAAGAGUUCGGUCAGUUGAUGGCCGAAUUCAAAGACACGUUCAUGUCGCAAUACUCGAAACAAACAGUUGGAGGUAGUAAAACGAUUUGCGCGAUGAAUAUCGCCCCCCACCCACUAGUACGAGUGACUAACAAAUUGUGUUGAAACAGUGGAUCAACACUGUUUUCUUUGAUUCGCUAUCAAUUAGCGUGCGAAUAUCGAUGGCCUCUUUUUGUUCACGGCGCCCAGCCCAAAGUCGGGAGGUCAACGACAUCGAUGGCUGAGAGGCAUAGAAAAGAGUUGAUUUGUUUUGUUUAAACCGCAAAAUGACACCAAAGUUGGCCACCGAGUUCUUUCUAUGUGCAUAAGCGGCGCACUUCGUUUCUGCCAACGUCGAAAAUGGCCAUAUUUCUCUUGCCUCACCUUGAAACAUUUGCAAGCAAAAACUCGCAAGUGGGUCACAAAGACAUUGAAGAGUUUGCGUCUCAGUUUGUAAGGGUUUUCCGACACGCUAUUUUGACACCUGAUUUAAUAUAUACACACGCUAAUUCGUUUUCA